AUUAUAUUUUAUUCUAUUGAACAAAAAAUAAUUGUAACCCUAUACAUACUUUAUAAUUUACAUUUGCAUAACUUUAUUGUUAAACUACUGCGAUACUUACGAGUCCCUCCAGUGGUAUAUUUAUAAGAAAAACUUUUGUGAUUUGCUUAUUCGGAUAUCAAUUGGCGAUAUCCGGCUUAUACCAUGUCACCCAACGGACCAUGCAAAAACAGGGUAGUGGAUGCUAUGGUAUAAGUUAUUUUUUUUUUCUCUAACUAACAAAACUUACUAUUUUCAUGACCUACUAAAAUACAUGUGCUGUGUAAACUUAGUAUAAGUAAAUCUAUUGUAAAAUUGCUUUUUGAAAAUGUAAACAUCCACAUGUACAACUGACGUGACAGUUCUAGUAAAAUUAUAUAUACAUUUCUGAACUACAAAAAUGUUCUUGAGUCACUAAUUUUGACUUACGUUCAGUAGUUCACUUUUUAUCGGUCUUGUUAUAAACCUUGUUAACUAAAUGAAUUGUGUUUAGCGUAGUUAUGGAUUAUAUCAUGGUCAAAACGCAUGUUUCUGUACUAUCAAUUAUUUGUAUCAUAGCCAGUAAGAAUCUGCUUUAGGAAUGAACAAACACAUGUUUGAUUUCAAAUAUGUAUUGUACAAUCAUUUAUAAUUGGUUUCAACUUACUGUAAGAUCGGACUCAGAAAAUGUUACUACCCUUGGUGACUAAUAACCCCUAGCUUUUGAUGGCAUGGUACCGGAAAGUUCUGACGGGGUUGCACCUUCUAAUAGGGUAGUGACGGUUACACAUGUAACCAGCUUAGAAACGUAAGUUUUUAGUUGAACCAAACAAAUGAUUAUUCAUUUCAGAAGCUAUAGAUUCCACUGGUCUAUGACACAAAUGAAAUAUAUGUACAGAUCUCAAUAUUGCUCAGGAUAAUUCAAUAACUUUGCAAACUGAAAUUCAAUUACCAAAACAUCGUUUUAAAUCAUUUUUUUAAUUAUUGAAGUUAAACCAAACGAAAAAUUGUAUGUAAAUGCAAUCACUAUGUAUUAUUGAUUUCAUAAACAUAAAUUUAAAGUUUUUCCACACAUUUCAGUUUAAAAGGCUUUUGAUAAUUGAUACAGGCUCGAUUUCGCAAUAUGGACAAAUGUGUGAAAUGUCGGUUUGUAUUAUGUGCCUGUAUCUAAGUCUUAGUUUGAUAAAUUUAGUACUUCCCGAUAGGUAAUAUGUCAUGGUUAUUAUGGUUUAGUGUUACGAAAACAGCAAAUUAUAAUUUUUGUUUUUAUAUUUCCAAUAUAUUUAAUAGCCUCAAAUUAUUGUUAUUAUCUCCACAGAGAAAAUUGUCGAAUAUAAGAUUAGACUGAACAUUUUUUAACACUAUAAGCUACGUUGACGCUAUCUUUUCCGAUAGGUAAUAUAUUUGGUAAGAUUAGAGUUCGUGUAUUUUAAUGCUUGUUUGAUUUAGACUGAUGUGUUUAGGAAAAUUAAAAUGCGGCGAUGUGUUGUUUGAAUUCUAUUACAAAGAAUGUUUGGAAUAUAUUUUGAAUAUAGGAGAAUCUUAACUACAAAGGAAAUUAUUUAAUAGAUUAAAAAAUAUGAUGUCCCCUUUGUCACCAAACAGUUCUUUCCAUCUUCAAAUAUCACAUUGUGAAUAGGUUUGGUUUUAUAAACUUUGAAUGUGAUUCUAAGUGCAGAAUCUUAAAUAGUGAAAGAUGUUUUAGGAGAGGAGCCGUAUAGAGAAAAGACCGCAAUUAUGUACAGAUCAGAUUAUUGACAUGAUAAUUGAAGUUAAUGUGUAAAUGUUUGCAGUUAAAUUUUCUGUUUAAUUAACAUUUAAUUAUAUUUAGGCUUUUAUUAAGAUCGUCAGUAAUAAAUUGUAAAUUUCCUUUCCAUUUGCAUUUGUUAUUAAAGAUAAAAUAUAUUUAAUUCCUUAUAAAAGUACAUUUUUCUAUGAUAAGAAACCAGAAGAAAUAUUAAGUUCAUAUGUUUUUUUCCUACAAAUCAAAAGAUGUUUGUACUUAGACAAUGAUAGAUUUCCUAUUUUGUUUAUCAAAGAGUUAAUGUCGAUGGUUCUAUUUUUUCCUUACCGAUUUUCUUAAUUAUAUAAAAGUUGUCUGCAUAAGCACAACUUGAGCAUUACUUCCAAGAUACUUGGAUCUAACUUCGACGAAUACCUGACUACCAACUUCGGUCAAAUAUUUAUUAAACUUCAGAAGAUAUCAAAUACAAUUCUUGUUUUGUACUCUUUAUAAUAAUUUUUUUAUACGAUCGCUAAAUUUUUAUAUAAUUUAAACGGUCUUUCUAAUUACUUUUCUAAGGACUUGUAUAUUAAAUAGCCUACGGACUAUUCUAAGUAAUCCCUCUUGAAUUUAGCAGCUGCUCUGUUAUGAGUAACUAAGCUACUCUAGAUGCUUUGUUACGCUAAAAAAAUUAAAUUAAACUGAAAUUCGGAUUACUCAUUCACUUAUGUAUGUUAAGUUUAAUCUUUUCAUUUUAUCAAUGAAGAAUUAUCAUAUAUGUAUUUCUAUUAAGUGGUGUUAGAAGAACUGCAUUUGCUACCAAGUUUUUUAUCAUUUCUUUAACUACUGCUCCAUACAAUUGUCUGAAGUUGUAGCGCAAGUAUGUGGUUUGUGUCGACAGACAAAAACAAAUAAACAUAUCCAGCGGGAAAGAGAUCCAGUAAAGAUGUCUUACUAAAGGCAUUAUUCUGUAGACACAAGUAUAUCCAGUCGCAUUGUAAAAUCGUUUCAAUUUUACACGGCAUGUCAUUAGCAUUCUAAUAUAAGACUUACUUAAAAAGCCUGUAGAUGGUCUUCCGUUGAAGGACUAUUUGAAGUUCCUUCGUUGAAGCCUUGUAUGAAGGUCUUGCUUUGAAGACACAUUAGAAGAUCUUCAGUCGAAGAAUCUAUAUAAUGUCCUCAUAGGAAAUUACAUUAAUAGUCAUAUUGACUUAUUCAUUAGAGCUUCUAAAUGUUUUAUAAAACAAAUUUAGGUUCAACAUUUGAUACAUAAACCUUUGAUAAAUGUACAUGAAUCCUUUUAGAAGAGGAAGCAGAGUCCUUCUGGAAUAUCUCAUGCGAGAAGGCAAUGAGAAAUGAAUUUCGCAACUUUUAUAAAAUGUAAAUAUGACUUUUAGUAGGCCCACGAAUCGAAGUCCUAGCAUUUUUUCCCGCUGCUUACUUAUGCCUUUGUUUUUCAUCUGAAUAUCGUAAUUUUUGUGUUUUUUGGUGUUUUAUUAAAAUUUUUAUUUUUAUGCUACCAAUAUUUUAUUAGCAUUGCUACUUCAUUUAGGUGGAAGUUGCUAUAAAAUUUUUGGUUAUUUGAAGUAUUUAAUUGCUACAUUGAAACAUUUCAAUACCAAUGACUGUGCUUCUGCUAUUAAAAGUUCCCUUUUUUGGCUACUACUAUAACUAGAGCUACUAAAAUCUGAAGAAAGUCAUAGUAAGUGAUUUGUUUGCUGCUAGCUUUUGCACAUUUUUAACUACAAAAGCGUGUUGUUACUACAGCUACUUGUAGUAUAGUUAUUUAAAUAUUGCUUUUAAGUAUUGCCAGACUAUAUAUAUUUUUAUUUUAUAUGCUUUGGUUCCUUAUUAUACAAAAUUCAAAAAGUGUCAUUUGAAAAACAAAAAAGUACCAAUAAGUAAUAGUACAAAUCCUCAAGAAUUUCUAUAUUUAAUUUCUGUUUUUAUAAUUCCAUAUUUUUAGAUUCAAUAUCACUUAAAGAAAAAAAGAACAGUUAUUGUUUCUACAUGACCAAAAAUAAAUUUACUGUCAAAAUAUCAUAAUUCUAGGUUUAAUUUUAUGUUUCUAGAUUCAACACCAGUUAGAGAAAAAGUACAAGUUAGUGGAUCUGCAUGACCAAAAAUACAUCUACUGUCAAAAUAUCAUUAUUCUAGCCGUUUAGGUUGUGUGAUAAUCAAUAAGUCAGUAACGCUACUCUUUUGUAUAUACAUAUAUGUUACAUAUUAAUACAUCUUUUUAAUUUGUUCCACAGUUUAUUUUAUCCAUAUUAAUUUCCGAAAGGUGUUUAUUCCACCACGUAGUUUUUUUGUAAUAUUGUUACUAAUUUGUGCUUUGCACUAUUAUAAUAGAGCGAUUAUUAUCGGAAAUAAGAGAAAGUUGUUGAAAUUUCUCCAAGUUUGGUAACAAAUUUGGAAAGAGACAAAGAGAUACAUGGAUAAUGAUUGGAAAAUUAUCACUUCCAUAUAGUUUGUUUUCAGUUUCGCACUUUGACUGAAUUUUCAUGAAAGGUGAAUAAAAAAAACGUCAAUACUUCUUUAAUUAUGAAGGCCAAAACUUUUAGAUGGUGGAAUGCAUGUGUUAAUUAUUGUAAUUUAUUUUAGCUUGAAUAGUGACAAUAAUCGUUAGACAGGUAAAUUGAUAAGAGUUUUGUAUUAGAAGUGCAACUCAUCCGUACGAAUAAGUUGCUCUGUUUUUGAUAAAAAUAGUUUAUUGGAAUACCAAAUGUGGAAUGAAAUUGUAUUUCCUAGAGAACUGUAGUUUUGGGAUAGUGUGUUUUAUUAAUAGUUGCAAUUCAUUAUACAUACAUUGUUCAAAUAGCCUAUAAUAUUCCAUAAGAUCAUGUUGAUAUUCAUAAUUAAUUUUAAAAUAAAUUGAUAAUAAGUAAAAGACAAAUCAAAUCAAAUUGAAAUCACCAGAAUAGUUAUCUGUUUCAAGUGUAUACCCAUAACGAAAAUCUGGAGUACACUCAGUCCAUAACUCUCUGUAACCCUCUUCAAACUAUACAAACCAUCAUUCCGACGAAUUACCCUUUCCACGCGAACUGAAUCCCCAAAUGUAUGUCGGUAUUGAAAAAACAGCAUGACUUCGGUGAGUCUUAUUCCUAAAUAGUUUAUUUAUAUUUCCAUUAUUUCAUCUACAUAGAUCUUAUUUGCCGUUUGUUGUUUUGUUGAUGGUUGAUUUGGUGUUUGCCUUGAAUUUUGCCUUUAGAAACUAAUGGCCAGAUUGGGCUGGAAACACGAUCUUAAUUGGUUUUCAGGUGCUGAAUGCGAAUAUGACCACUAAAUUUUGAUCCGACCAAGAUUUCAUCGAAAUCCGGAAAAUUCCAAACAUAUUUCGAGUAUGUGUCUUAAGUCUUCAUAAAUUUAAUUGUUAUAUGUGUGCCAUGUGGUGAAUAAAAAAAUAAAUAAAAAGGACUGUUGUUAUAUGUGCGCCAUCUGAGUGUAAGAAAAUUAAUCAAAUGUUUUUAAAAGUGUCGUUGGAUCGUUGUUAUAUGUGCGCCAUCUGAGUGUAAGAAAAUCAAAUGUUUUUAAAAGUGUCGCCAUAUGUUGUUUGUCAAUAGGAAAAUAAAACAAAUGUUUGUCAGUUAUUUAUUUGGAGAAAAAUUUAUGGCAUCAUUGGUAAACAGCUGUUAUUAGAGUAUCAUUUUAUUAAGAAUGCCACAAUAAUAAAAAGAAAAUGGAAAAUAUUUCCAUUAUUUCAUCUACAUAGAUCUUAUUUGCCGUUUGUUGUUUUGUUGAUGGUUGAUUUGGUGUUUGCCUUGAAUUUUGCCUUUAGGUAAGAUUUUGGAUAGAUGUUGUCGCUUGAUCAAUGUGGUCAAUUAUAAUAGAUUUGUUUUAUUGCUCAUUAUGUUUGUUAAGAUUGUUGAUGUUGACGUUUUUGUUUAGUAGUGGAUUCUGUUAACUGAUCUAUUGGGUCCUUGGAGAAAUUGAUUUUGAAUUACUAGCUUUAGUGAUUAAAGCAAUGGUGUCGUUAUUGUUGAGAUGUCUAUUGUUGUUGUCUCAUUAACCACAUGAUUUUUCACUCUGGAAUGGAAACAGGAAAUUAUUGAGUCGUUGAAAACUAGAUUUUUAUUUACUUAACAAACAUUAUCGAUUGUUCCUGCUAUAGUUUCUUUAUAACUUUCAUCAAUAUUCUGUUGCUGUACUUUCUCAGAUUUUCGACAGUUCUUCUGAACAAUUAUAGCAUUUAAAGAAGUGAUUGCGACUUGGUAGAAGUGUGGCAACAGGUGUUAUUGACACAUCAUUUAAUCAAACCGAAAAAGGACAAUUCCACUCAAUAUAGGAAAUUGUUACUAUAUUUGUUGAAGGUGACAAUAGUUCAUUUACGCCGGAGGAAUUAUUUGUAGACUGUUUAAAAGAUACAUACUUUUACUAGUCAAAAUUAGAUGAAAAAAAUUAUUUUGAAUGUGGUGAUAGUAUUUCAAAACAAAAUAUUGUGUGAUAUCUUUUUAAAUUAUUAGGCGUCCUAAAGGGGAACUAGAACAAAGAGGACGGUCUAGGAAAAAGGGGAAAUCAAUUGUUAAAAGCGUGAAUAAUAUUAAUAAAAGUGCAUGUAGAAUAGGAGGAAGAGAAAAAAUUGCAAUUAAAAUAGGGAAAAAAGGUGGUGGUGAGUGACUAAACAUUUGUACAUAAAUUAUGUUUCGUAUAGAAGUUUUUUAUUCGAAUUUCAUCGUCUAAGCCGUAAUUUUAAGUAAUUUAACUGAAGUGUUCAUUUAUCGAUCCAUCUUCAUCAAAGUCGGUAGGAAGAUUUCACCGACCAUAAAACUUGUUUAUGUUGAAUUUCAUAUAUCUACUCGUAUUUUAAUGCCAGUAAUGAGUGUUAAAGGUGCCCUUUUACGGACCGAUCCUCCUAAAAUGUAGAACGAUUUUUGUUCAUAUAAAUAUUGUUUAUGUCGCAUUUUUGAGCCAGUAAUUAGCGUUAGUCAUUUUCUAAUGGGGACCUUAAUAGGGGUCGUAGGGUACUGGCUCAUACAAAAUAUCAAAUUAACAAGCGUCCGUAUGAGAAAGAGUUAUUGCAAGUAAAUUUUAUAAUUAAUUUAUUUACAAUUAAAAUUGUUUACAAUUAAUGUGAAAAGGUGUCGAAUAGGAAAAAAGAGACGGAGACGAAUAAAAAAUUUAUAAAAAGGAUAAUCAAGCGGGGAAAGAUUGUGUGUAGUUUGCAAAUAAAGAACAAAGAAACAACAAUUAAAAAAGGGGAAAAAGGCUUCAACAUAAGAAUAAAAAAAGAACUAACAAUACAUAAAAUUAACAAAAAAAAUAUAUAGAGUAGGAGAGAAGGAGGGCGGAAACUUGGUUAGCAUCUCGAUUUAAGUGGAGUUCAACCGGUGGCAUGUCUAGCUUACCAUCUACCAUUCUUUAGGGAGUCCACAUAUUCAAAACUUCAAUUUUUCAACAUGUUAACUUUAUUUGCUUUUUUCUCAGAAACUAAUGGCCAGAUUGGGCUGGAAACACGAUCUUAAUUGGUUUUCAGGUGCUGAAUGCGAAUAUGACCACUAAAUUUUGAUCCGACCAAGAUUUCAUCGAAAUCCGGAAAAUUCCAAACAUAUUUCGAGUAUGUGUCUUAAGUCUUCAUAAAUUUAAUUGUUAUAUGUGUGCCAUGUGGUGAAUAAAAAAAUAAAUAAAAAGGACUGUUGUUAUAUGUGCGCCAUCUGAGUGUAAGAAAAUUAAUCAAAUGUUUUUAAAAGUGUCGUUGGAUCGUUGUUAUAUGUGCGCCAUCUGAGUGUAAGAAAAUCAAAUGUUUUUAAAAGUGUCGCCAUAUGUUGUUUGUCAAUAGGAAAAUAAAACAAAUGUUUGUCAGUUAUUUAUUUGGAGAAAAAUUUAUGGCAUCAUUGGUAAACAGCUGUUAUUAGAGUAUCAUUUUAUUAAGAAUGCCACAAUAAUAAAAAGAAAAUGGAAAAUAUUUCCAUUAUUUCAUCUACAUAGAUCUUAUUUGCCGUUUGUUGUUUUGUUGAUGGUUGAUUUGGUGUUUGCCUUGAAUUUUGCCUUUAGAAACUAAUGGCCAGAUUGGGCUGGAAACACGAUCUUAAUUGGUUUUCAGGUGCUGAAUCCGAAUAUGACCACUAAAUUUUGAUCCGACCAAGAUUUCAUCGAAAUCCGGAAAAUUCCAAACAUAUUUCGAGUAUGUGUCUUAAGUCUUCAUAAAUUUAAUUGUUAUAUGUGUGCCAUGUGGUGAAUAAAAAAAUAAAUAAAAAGGACUGUUGUUAUAUGUGCGCCAUCUGAGUGUAAGAAAAUUAAUCAAAUGUUUUUAAAAGUGUCGUUGGAUCGUUGUUAUAUGUGCGCCAUCUGAGUGUAAGAAAAUCAAAUGUUUUUAAAAGUGUCGCCAUAUGUUGUUUGUCAAUAGGAAAAUAAAACAAAUGUUUGUCAGUUAUUUAUUUGGAGAAAAAUUUAUGGCAUCAUUGGUAAACAGCUGUUAUUAGAGUAUCAUUUUAUUAAGAAUGCCACAAUAAUAAAAAGAAAAUGGAAAAUAUUUCCAUUAUUUCAUCUACAUAGAUCUUAUUUGCCGUUUGUUGUUUUGUUGAUGGUUGAUUUGGUGUUUGCCUUGAAUUUUGCCUUUAGGUAAGAUUUUGGAUAGAUGUUGUCGCUUGAUCAAUGUGGUCAAUUAUAAUAGAUUUGUUUUAUUGCUCAUUAUGUUUGUUAAGAUUGUUGAUGUUGACGUUUUUGUUUAGUAGUGGAUUCUGUUAACUGAUCUAUUGGGUCCUUGGAGAAAUUGAUUUUGAAUUACUAGCUUUAGUGAUUAAAGCAAUGGUGUCGUUAUUGUUGAGAUGUCUAUUGUUGUAUAUUAUUUGAAAUGUUUUUUGAGGAUUAUAAUGACUUCAAUUUCUUUAUUUUUUAUAAAUAUUAGGUUGUCUGAUUAACCACAUGAUUUUUCACUCUGGAAUGGAAACAGGAAAUUAUUGAGUCGUUGAAAACGAGAUUUUUAUUUACUUAACAAACAUUAUCGAUUGUUCCUGCUAUAGUUUCUUUAUAACUUUAUCAAUAUUCUGUUGCUUUCUCAGAUUUUCGACAGUUCUUCUGAACAAUUAUAGCAUUUAAAGAAGUGAUUGCGACUUGGUAGAAGUGUGGCAACAGGUGUUAUUGACACAUCAUUUAAUCAAACCGAAAAAGGACAAUUCCACUCAAUAUAGGAAAUUGUUACUAUAUUUGUUGAAGGUGACAAUAGUUCAUUUACGCCGGAGGAAUUAUUUGUAGACUGUUUAAAAGAUACAUACUUUUACUAGUCAAAAUUAGAUGAAAAAAAUUAUUUUGAAUGUGGUGAUAGUAUUUCAAAACAAAAUAUUGUGUGAUAUCUUUUUAAAUUAUUAGGCGUCCUAAAGGGGAACUAGAACAAAGAGGACGGUCUAGGAAAAAGGGGAAAUCAAUUGUUAAAAGCGUGAAUAAUAUUAAUAAAAGUGCAUGUAGAAUAGGAGGAAGAGAAAAAAUUGCAAUUAAAAUAGGGAAAAAAGGUGGUGGUGAGUGACUAAACAUUUGUACAUAAAUUAUGUUUCGUAUAGAAGUUUUUUAUUCGAAUUUCAUCGUCUAAGCCGUAAUUUUAAGUAAUUUAACUGAAGUGUUCAUUUAUCGAUCCAUCUUCAUCAAAGUCGGUAGGAAGAUUUCACCGACCAUAAAACUUGUUUAUGUUGAAUUUCAUAUAUCUACUCGUAUUUUAAUGCCAGUAAUGAGUGUUAAAGGUGCCCUUUUACGGACCGAUCCUCCUAAAAUUUAGAACGAUUUUUGUUCAUAUAAAUAUUGUUUAUGUCGCAUUUUUGAGCCAGUAAUUAGCGUUAGUCAUUUUCUAAUGGGGACCUUAAUAGGGGUCGUAGGGUACUGGCUCAUACAAAAUAUCAAAUUAACAAGCGUCCGUAUGAGAAAGAGUUAUUGCAAGUAAAUUUUAUAAUUAAUUUAUUUACAAUUAAAAUUGUUUACAAUUAAUGUGAAAAGGUGUCGAAUAGGAAAAAAGAGACGGAGACGAAUAAAAAAUUUAUAAAAAGGAUAAUCAAGCGGGGAAAGAUUGUGUGUUGUUUGCAAAUAAAGAACAAAGAAACAACAAUUAAAAAAGGGGAAAAAGGCUUCAACAUAAGAAUAAAAAAAGAACUAACAAUACAUAAAAUUAACAAAAAAAAAUAUAUAGAGUAGGAGAGAAGGAGGGCGGAAACUUGGUUAGCAUCUCGAUUUAAGUGGAGUUCAACCGGUGGCAUGUCUAGCUUACCAUCUACCAUUCUUUAGGGAGUCCACAUAUUCAAAACUUCAAUUUUUCAACAUGUUAACUUUAUUUGCUUUUUUCUCAGAAACUAAUGGCCAGAUUGGGCUGGAAACACGAUCUUAAUUGGUUUUCAGGUGCUGAAUCCGAAUAUGACCACUAAAUUUUGAUCCGACCAAGAUUUCAUCGAAAUCCGGAAAAUUCCAAACAUAUUUCGAGUAUGUGUCUUAAGUCUUCAUAAAUUUAAUUGUUAUAUGUGUGCCAUGUGGUGAAUAAAAAAAUAAAUAAAAAGGACUGUUGUUAUAUGUGCGCCAUCUGAGUGUAAGAAAAUUAAUCAAAUGUUUUUAAAAGUGUCGUUGGAUCGUUGUUAUAUGUGCGCCAUCUGAGUGUAAGAAAAUCAAAUGUUUUUAAAAGUGUCGCCAUAUGUUGUUUGUCAAUAGGAAAAUAAAACAAAUGUUUGUCAGUUAUUUAUUUGGAGAAAAAUUUAUGGCAUCAUUGGUAAACAGCUGUUAUUAGAGUAUCAUUUUAUUAAGAAUGCCACAAUAAUAAAAAGAAAAUGGAAAAUAUUUCCAUUAUUUCAUCUACAUAGAUCUUAUUUGCCGUUUGUUGUUUUGUUGAUGGUUGAUUUGGUGUUUGCCUUGAAUUUUGCCUUUAGGUAAGAUUUUGGAUAGAUGUUGUCGCUUGAUCAAUGUGGUCAAUUAUAAUAGAUUUGUUUUAUUGCUCAUUAUGUUUGUUAAGAUUGUUGAUGUUGACGUUUUUGUUUAGUAGUGGAUUCUGUUAACUGAUCUAUUGGGUCCUUGGAGAAAUUGAUUUUGAAUUACUAGCUUUAGUGAUUAAAGCAAUGGUGUCGUUAUUGUUGAGAUGUCUAUUGUUGUUGUCUCAUUAACCACAUGAUUUUUCACUCUGGAAUGGAAACAGGAAAUUAUUGAGUCGUUGAAAACUAGAUUUUUAUUUACUUAACAAACAUUAUCGAUUGUUCCUGCUAUAGUUUCUUUAUAACUUUCAUCAAUAUUCUGUUGCUGUACUUUCUCAGAUUUUCGACAGUUCUUCUGAACAAUUAUAGCAUUUAAAGAAGUGAUUGCGACUUGGUAGAAGUGUGGCAACAGGUGUUAUUGACACAUCAUUUAAUCAAACCGAAAAAGGACAAUUCCACUCAAUAUAGGAAAUUGUUACUAUAUUUGUUGAAGGUGACAAUAGUUCAUUUACGCCGGAGGAAUUAUUUGUAGACUGUUUAAAAGAUACAUACUUUUACUAGUCAAAAUUAGAUGAAAAAAAUUAUUUUGAAUGUGGUGAUAGUAUUUCAAAACAAAAUAUUGUGUGAUAUCUUUUUAAAUUAUUAGGCGUCCUAAAGGGGAACUAGAACAAAGAGGACGGUCUAGGAAAAAGGGGAAAUCAAUUGUUAAAAGCGUGAAUAAUAUUAAUAAAAGUGCAUGUAGAAUAGGAGGAAGAGAAAAAAUUGCAAUUAAAAUAGGGAAAAAAGGUGGUGGUGAGUGACUAAACAUUUGUACAUAAAUUAUGUUUCGUAUAGAAGUUUUUUAUUCGAAUUUCAUCGUCUAAGCCGUAAUUUUAAGUAAUUUAACUGAAGUGUUCAUUUAUCGAUCCAUCUUCAUCAAAGUCGGUAGGAAGAUUUCACCGACCAUAAAACUUGUUUAUGUUGAAUUUCAUAUAUCUACUCGUAUUUUAAUGCCAGUAAUGAGUGUUAAAGGUGCCCUUUUACGGACCGAUCCUCCUAAAAUUUAGAACGAUUUUUGUUCAUAUAAAUAUUGUUUAUGUCGCAUUUUUGAGCCAGUAAUUAGCGUUAGUCAUUUUCUAAUGGGGACCUUAAUAGGGGUCGUAGGGUACUGGCUCAUACAAAAUAUCAAAUUAACAAGCGUCCGUAUGAGAAAGAGUUAUUGCAAGUAAAUUUUAUAAUUAAUUUAUUUACAAUUAAAAUUGUUUACAAUUAAUGUGAAAAGGUGUCGAAUAGGAAAAAAGAGACGGAGACGAAUAAAAAAUUUAUAAAAAGGAUAAUCAAGCGGGGAAAGAUUGUGUGUUGUUUGCAAAUAAAGAACAAAGAAACAACAAUUAAAAAAGGGGAAAAAGGCUUCAACAUAAGAAUAAAAAAGAACUAACAAUACAUAAAAUUAACAAAAAAAAAUAUAUAGAGUAGGAGAGAAGGAGGGCGGAAACUUGGUUAGCAUCUCGAUUUAAGUGGAGUUCAACCGGUGGCAUGUCUAGCUUACCAUCUACCAUUCUUUAGGGAGUCCACAUAUUCAAAACUUCAAUUUUUCAACAUGUUAACUUUAUUUGCUUUUUUCUCAGAAACUAAUGGCCAGAUUGGGCUGGAAACACGAUCUUAAUUGGUUUUCAGGUGCUGAAUCCGAAUAUGACCACUAAAUUUUGAUCCGACCAAGAUUUCAUCGAAAUCCGGAAAAUUCCAAACAUAUUUCGAGUAUGUGUCUUAAGUCUUCAUAAAUUUAAUUGUUAUAUGUGUGCCAUGUGGUGAAUAAAAAAAUAAAUAAAAAGGACUGUUGUUAUAUGUGCGCCAUCUGAGUGUAAGAAAAUUAAUCAAAUGUUUUUAAAAGUGUCGUUGGAUCGUUGUUAUAUGUGCGCCAUCUGAGUGUAAGAAAUAAUCAAAUGUUUUUAAAAGUGUCGCCAUAUGUUGUUUGUCAAUAGGAAAAUAAAACAAAUGUUUGUCAGUUAUUUAUUUGGAGAAAAAUUUAUGGCAUCAUUGGUAAACAGCUGUUAUUAGAGUAUCAUUUUAUUAAGAAUGCCACAAUAAUAAAAAGAAAAUGGAAAAUAUUUCCAUUAUUUCAUCUACAUAGAUCUUAUUUGCCGUUUGUUGUUUUGUUGAUGGUUGAUUUGGUGUUUGCCUUGAAUUUUGCCUUUAGAAACUAAUGGCCAGAUUGGGCUGGAAACACGAUCUUAAUUGGUUUUCAGGUGCUGAAUCCGAAUAUGACCACUAAAUUUUGAUCCGACCAAGAUUUCAUCGAAAUCCGGAAAAUUCCAAACAUAUUUCGAGUAUGUGUCUUAAGUCUUCAUAAAUUUAAUUGUUAUAUGUGUGCCAUGUGGUGAAUAAAAAAAUAAAUAAAAAGGACUGUUGUUAUAUGUGCGCCAUCUGAGUGUAAGAAAAUUAAUCAAAUGUUUUUAAAAGUGUCGUUGGAUCGUUGUUAUAUGUGCGCCAUCUGAGUGUAAGAAAAUCAAAUGUUUUUAAAAGUGUCGCCAUAUGUUGUUUGUCAAUAGGAAAAUAAAACAAAUGUUUGUCAGUUAUUUAUUUGGAGAAAAAUUUAUGGCAUCAUUGGUAAACAGCUGUUAUUAGAGUAUCAUUUUAUUAAGAAUGCCACAAUAAUAAAAAGAAAAUGGAAAAUAUUUCCAUUAUUUCAUCUACAUAGAUCUUAUUUGCCGUUUGUUGUUUUGUUGAUGGUUGAUUUGGUGUUUGCCUUGAAUUUUGCCUUUAGGUAAGAUUUUGGAUAGAUGUUGUCGCUUGAUCAAUGUGGUCAAUUAUAAUAGAUUUGUUUUAUUGCUCAUUAUGUUUGUUAAGAUUGUUGAUGUUGACGUUUUUGUUUAGUAGUGGAUUCUGUUAACUGAUCUAUUGGGUCCUUGGAGAAAUUGAUUUUGAAUUACUAGCUUUAGUGAUUAAAGCAAUGGUGUCGUUAUUGUUGAGAUGUCUAUUGUUGUAUAUUAUUUGAAAUGUUUUUUGAGGAUUAUAAUGACUUCAAUUUCUUUAUUUUUUAUAAAUAUUAGGUUGUCUGAUUAACCACAUGAUUUUUCACUCUGGAAUGGAAACAGGAAAUUAUUGAGUCGUUGAAAACGAGAUUUUUAUUUACUUAACAAACAUUAUCGAUUGUUCCUGCUAUAGUUUCUUUAUAACUUUCAUCAAUAUUCUGUUGCUGUACUUUCUCAGAUUUUCGACAGUUCUUCUGAACAAUUAUAGCAUUUAAAGAAGUGAUUGCGACUUGGUAGAAGUGUGGCAACAGGUGUUAUUGACACAUCAUUUAAUCAAACCGAAAAAGGACAAUUCCACUCAAUAUAGGAAAUUGUUACUAUAUUUGUUGAAGGUGACAAUAGUUCAUUUACGCCGGAGGAAUUAUUUGUAGACUGUUUAAAAGAUACAUACUUUUACUAGUCAAAAUUAGAUGAAAAAAAUUAUUUUGAAUGUGGUGAUAGUAUUUCAAAACAAAAUAUUGUGUGAUAUCUUUUUAAAUUAUUAGGCGUCCUAAAGGGGAACUAGAACAAAGAGGACGGUCUAGGAAAAAGGGGAAAUCAAUUGUUAAAAGCGUGAAUAAUAUUAAUAAAAGUGCAUGUAGAAUAGGAGGAAGAGAAAAAAUUGCAAUUAAAAUAGGGAAAAAAGGUGGUGGUGAGUGACUAAACAUUUGUACAUAAAUUAUGUUUCGUAUAGAAGUUUUUUAUUCGAAUUUCAUCGUCUAAGCCGUAAUUUUAAGUAAUUUAACUGAAGUGUUCAUUUAUCGAUCCAUCUUCAUCAAAGUCGGUAGGAAGAUUUCACCGACCAUAAAACUUGUUUAUGUUGAAUUUCAUAUAUCUACUCGUAUUUUAAUGCCAGUAAUGAGUGUUAAAGGUGCCCUUUUACGGACCGAUCCUCCUAAAAUUUAGAACGAUUUUUGUUCAUAUAAAUAUUGUUUAUGUCGCAUUUUUGAGCCAGUAAUUAGCGUUAGUCAUUUUCUAAUGGGGACCUUAAUAGGGGUCGUAGGGUACUGGCUCAUACAAAAUAUCAAAUUAACAAGCGUCCGUAUGAGAAAGAGUUAUUGCAAGUAAAUUUUAUAAUUAAUUUAUUUACAAUUAAAAUUGUUUACAAUUAAUGUGAAAAGGUGUCGAAUAGGAAAAAAGAGACGGAGACGAAUAAAAAAUUUAUAAAAAGGAUAAUCAAGCGGGGAAAGAUUGUGUGUAGUUUGCAAAUAAAGAACAAAGAAACAACAAUUAAAAAAGGGGAAAAAGGCUUCAACAUAAGAAUAAAAAAAGAACUAACAAUACAUAAAAUUAACAAAAAAAAAUAUAUAGAGUAGGAGAGAAGGAGGGCGGAAACUUGGUUAGCAUCUCGAUUUAAGUGGAGUUCAACCGGUGGCAUGUCUAGCUUACCAUCUACCAUUCUUUAGGGAGUCCACAUAUUCAAAACUUCAAUUUUUCAACAUGUUAACUUUAUUUGCUUUUUUCUCAGAAACUAAUGGCCAGAUUGGGCUGGAAACACGAUCUUAAUUGGUUUUCAGGUGCUGAAUGCGAAUAUGACCACUAAAUUUUGAUCCGACCAAGAUUUCAUCGAAAUCCGGAAAAUUCCAAACAUAUUUCGAGUAUGUGUCUUAAGUCUUCAUAAAUUUAAUUGUUAUAUGUGUGCCAUGUGGUGAAUAAAAAAAUAAAUAAAAAGGACUGUUGUUAUAUGUGCGCCAUCUGAGUGUAAGAAAAUUAA